CCAAAGGCUCUUCUAAGAGCCACCACAUCCCCUCUCGAGUAAAGU
rfam:Takifugu rubripes genomic scaffold, scaffold_7505